UACAGAGGUGCCAAGCGUUAGGCGGAAUCACUGGGCUUAAAGCGUGUGUAGGCGGAUCGUUAAGUGCUUUGUGAAAUCCCCCGGCUCAACCGGGGAACUGCUUGGCAUACUGGCGAUCUUGAGCCACCUAGGGGCAACUGGAACAAACGGUGGAGCGGUGAAAUGCGUAGAUAUCGUUUGGAACGCCAAUGGUGAAAACAGGUUGCUGGGGGUGUGCUGACGCUGAGACACGAAAGCCAGGGGAGCAAACGGG
rnacentral:rRNA from 1 species